ACGGGAGGCAGCAGUAGGGAAUCUUCCACAAUGGACGAAAGUCUGAUGGAGCAACGCCGCGUGAGUGAUGAAGGAUUUCGGUUCGUAAAACUCUGUUGUAAGGGAAGAACAAGUAGCGUAGUAACUGGCGCUACCUUGACGGUACCUUAUUAGAAAGCCACGGCUAACUACGUGCCAGCAGCCGCGGUAAUACGUAGGUGGCAAGCGUUGUCCGGAAUUAUUGGACGUAAAGCGCGCGCAGGUGGUUUCUUAAGUCAGGUGUGAAAGCCCCCGGCUCAACCGGGGAGGGUCAUUGGAAACUGGGAGGCUUGAGUGCAGAAGAGGAUAGUGGAAUUCCAAGUGUAGCGGUGAAAUGCGUAGAGAUUUGGAGGAACACCAGUGGCGAAGGCGACUAUCUGGUCUGUAACUGACACUGAGGCGCGAAAGCGUGGGGAGCAAACAGGAUUAGAUACCCUGGUA
rnacentral:rRNA from 1 species